ACUGUGGACUAUACUAGAACUUGUUAGUAGCGAAUUACUUGUAAUCGCCAAAGCAUAUAGAAUGAAACAGUAA
rnacentral:ncRNA from 1 species